GGGAAGGUAGCUUAGCUGGGUAGAGCGGCUUGCAAAGGCGCGCACAUGCCGAACGCAAGUGGUCCUGCGUUCGAAUCGCAGCCUUCCUA